rnacentral:lncRNA from 1 species
UUAUUUGAGUGAAAAUAGAGAAGGAUGACGUUAUUUUCGACCGUUAACGACCACUUUCGUUGUUUAAUUUGCCGUAACAAAAAUAUAGUCGAAACUUGAGUUAUCCAAAACAGCGUAAUUGACUUAAUCCUACCCAAGGCCAAAAUCAAUUACAAUGAAGAAAAGUGAAGAAAAAAUAAUAAAAUAAUAUAAAAAGAUAAUUCUAGUUAUAUUUAAAUAUAUUUAAUUAUUUUACUAAUUACUCUUUUUUUUAGUUUGCAUAUUUAAAAUAUGAUAUAAAAAUUGAAUAGUUAAGUUUUAAUAUUUUCUUCAUGUAGUUUAUACAUUUAAAAUAUGAUGUAAAUUGGUUAGUUAAGUAUUUUUUUUUUUACUUUAUAAUUUUAUUAUUGUAUUAUUAUAAGUAUAAAAAAAUUAGUUGUUUUAGAUUAAUUUUUUUUAUUAUAUAGAAAUAUAAUUAUAUUAUUGUUAUUUAUUAUAUUAUAAUUUAUUAUUUAUUAAGUUACUUAAUAUUUAUACUUAAAUUAUAGUUUUACAUCAUGCACUUCUUGCCAAAAAAAAAAGCAAAACUGAAAAAACUUCAUUUCCAUAGCUAUAAAACAAACAGUGAAAGAGAAAUAGUUUUAUGGAACUCCUUUUCAACCCAAAGUCCAGUUUCAGUAAAACAAGCAGGCCUUUGUAAAUGUUGAAAACCAUUGCCAAUGUACUUGUUUAUAAAGCACUCUUUCGAAUGUUCAACUUCUAAUAAUCAAAAUCUAAUUAAAAAAAUAGUGUUUAUAAUAUUCUAUAAACUUUAUGUAAAAAAAAUUAGGCUAAAUUACACAAAACCGUCAUGUCAAUACCCAUUUUUUCACUUUUUCUCCUAUCAUUCAAAAACUUACAUUUUGCCCCAUUAAAAAAUAAAAAAUGUUCGUAGGAAGGUAUGAUGUGAUAAAGUGACCAAAUUAUUCUCAUCUUCUUCAUCUCCUUUCCCAUCCUCCCCCCAUUCUUGCUCAUCCCGGCGGCGGAGGAGAGCGAGGACGUUUGUCUAGGCAAAGAUAGAGGGGUGGGCGAGUGCGAGGCGGCGAAGGACGAGGCGGCGGCCGAGGGCAUGGAUGAGGAUUUCAGGAGUAUUUUGGGUAUAAAAAAUAAGAUAUAGAACCUAACGGAAUACUAACGGCAGGGGCCGAAGUGAAAAUUUUUUAUUUUUUAAGAGGGCAAAGUGAAGGUUUUUGAAUGACACGAGAAAAAGUAAAAAAGCGAGUAUUGAUAGGGAGGUUUUAUGUAAUUUAGCCUAAAAAUUAUAUAUAUAAAGUUCUAUUUAAAUGUUGGAAUAAGCUAUUCUUGAAUAGCUUUCUAUG